rnacentral:lncRNA from 1 species
UACGCUCCCCUGACAGAGAGCAACAGAGAACGGCGCCUUUGGGGGAGUUAAAAAAAAAGCUUUCUCCUUCAUUUUCCCAUCAAAAACCAAGACAUACCAUUUACCUUCUAAAAAAUGGUGUAGCUUUGACCUUUCUCUCUCCAGUUUCUCACCUCACCCACACACUAAUCUCUGAUGGAACAAAGCUAAAAAGAGUUCUGUUUUCAAAAGAAGAAAAAUCCGAGUUUCAGAUUUGAAAAAGAAAAAGAAAAAAAAAUUCUCAUGAACAAAACAAAACAAAGCAAACAGUCAAAAAAGGAAUUUGGAGCUGUUGGACUGAGGAGCUGCUGUUUGUCACUAUUCCCUCGCUGGUUGAGUCACUAUUUGUUGCUGUAGCUAAUUUGUCCCAGCUUAUUGAUUUCAGCUCUUACUUGGCUUUCUAGUUGUUUUAAUUAUUGAUUAAGGUCAAUUCUAGUCCAAGUAAGUAUGUUCUCUCACCUCUGUAUUUUUUCAGAUCUGGUUUAAUAUAAAAUCAUGACUAUUUUCCUUUAUCUUUUAUUAUUGUUUGGAUUUUGUGUAUUGUAAUAAUAAUUUGAUUCCAUAAAUGAAGGGUAUAGCGUGCGGACAUAAUUGUAAAGGAAAUUUUGAUACUGGGAUUCUCAUACUGUGACAUAAAUGUGAAAGAUCAUAUAUCAAUGUUGAUAAUAGUUUCGACUUUGCUCCAUGUAUCAUGUUCUUCACGUCUUGUAUAUUGCUUGUAUCGUUUGUGCCUUGUUCGAGCGUCCUCUUCUUGUCCUCCAAUGAUGUAUGAUGAUGAGUAUACCAAUCAUUGUGUAUCUUGACCAUGUUGAGCUUCCACUUGAACAAAUUGAAGUCAUCACUUCUGCCACUUUCAUAUGUCGAGUUCCUGGAGUUAAUUUAUAACUUUAAAAUCUGAGCAAUCUUGAAUUAAUGUUUGUAGAAGUUUUUUUUAAAUUAUUUUUCUAUUGUUAUGUUGAUGUAUGAAAAUCAUGUGGAAAGACUAGUCAAAUGUAGUUAUACGCAUUUCUGAAUUCAAUUCGGACCCAUUUGGUAGCCUAUGGCCUCACCCGCAAAAAUCAUGUCGUAUUCGGUGGACUGUGACGUAUCGGGCCCCACUAUGAACCCAUCUUAGCCUACUUGGACCUGUUGGAUGUUUCGUGAUAAUCUUUAUUGAAACUCCAAACACUUGAUUCAAGCCCCGACUUUGCUUUACUUACAGUAGACGUUCCAUAAUGUCGAGCCUCUUUAACAAUCUCAAAGUAAUUUAGGAAAUGGACAACUUAUGAACAUCGUUGCUUGUUUCAGGCGCGAUUAAUAAUGAACCAUCGUGGCUAUGGGUACGGUUCCUGUGACAUAGUAAUGAUGCCUAAUUCCCAAAUUUAGGGUACAUUUCAUGUAACCCGAUUAUAACAACUUCGAAUAAUAAAACCCUUUAAAAUAAUUUGAGGCGUGCCAUGCCAAAUAAAACCCCUAAGCCCAUGGCCCUCACAAAACUAGCUAGCUUUUUUUAUAGAAUAUUUGAGGUAUGCCAUUUUCAUUAAAUAACCCAUGGCCCUCGUGUAAUUAAUACUAACUCUUUAAAAAAUCGAGGUGUGCCAUUAAUUGAAUUUUCCAUGGACCUCGCAAACAUUGUUAUUAAUUUGAACCUUUGUAGUUGCUUUAGGCGCAUUCUUUAAAUUGAUUUUUUUAAUUACUAAAUUCGGGUGUACAUUUCAUGUGACCCAAUUUCAAUUCUCAACAAUAUUAAAUAGAACGUGUCGCGAACCGAGGGUGCAUUUCAUGUAGCACGGUUUAAGGCGUGUUUUAAAUAGCCUUGAAUCUUCUUUAAAAUCAUUUUUUAAAUAAAUAAAAGCGGUUUUAAAGUUAAAAAUGGACAAUAGGUUUAAAACGUAUAAUAAAUUAGAUAAUAAGCCAAUUAUUAAUAGUUAAAGCAACCGUGCUAGAACCACGGAAUCCGGGAAUGCCUAACACCUUUUCCCAGGUUAAUAGAAUUCCUUACCGGUCUUCUGGUUUCACAGACUUUAUUUGGGAUUUAAAAUAAACCGGUGACUUGAGACACCAUAAACUAUCCCAAGUGGAGACUCUGAUAAAUAAAUAAUUCCAUUUCGAAUGAUGUCACUUAAAUUGGAAAAACUCCCUCAUAUACCCCUCGGGUGAUAAAAAGGAAGUGUUACACUUUCGAUUUCAAAAUAGAUUUGAUAUCUUUAUAAGAGAUAUUAUCCUUUCCAUAAAGCAUAGUAUCUCUUAUACGUUUAAACGACUGGGUAAGGAAACAAGCAAUAACACAGCUUGAUCCUUAUCUUUGAUUUCAAUAUCUAUGUUAAAUCCGUAAGAAGAGAAUAAAAAAUAUCAAUAUGUGUAAGUAUAUGUCUCGCCCUGAAACCUGGCCUGGACGUAACACGACACUCGGUGCCUGACUACAUAUGACCGAUCGAACCCACUGGCUGGCUGAAUCAACAUGUGAUAUCAUAACAUACUAAAUACGGAAAAUAAACUAACACAUGCUGAUAUACUGAAAGUCUGAAUGAUAACAAUCAAAGUGUGGAAACACUAUACAAGUCUGAAACAUGUCUGUAGCCAACGUUGCUUAACAUAAAAAGCUUGUGACUCUUUCUAACUGUUACUCUACUCUAUCAAGCCUCUAUUGAAGUACUGAAAACACUGACUGUCUGUAAAUACUAAAAGACUGUAAGGUAAUGAUAAUGUCCCGAAAGGAUUGGGGAUCACCAAAAAGCUGGUACGAGAAUCCUAGCGCUCUGAAUCGUCAACCUGUAAAUCAGUACCUACAUCGUGAGAUGCAAGCCUCGAGAAAAAAGGGGCAUUAGUACAUUUGAAUUGCACUGGUAUGUAAAGCAACUGAAAGAAAGAAUUAGAAAUACUGAAACAAAUACUGAGCUGAUAACUGAGAAUUAAUAAUUGAUAACUGAAAUUAUAACUGUUGAAACUGAAAUAGAAAUGAUAACUAAUAGCUGAUAACUAAUAACUGAUAAUUGAGAUAAUAACUGAUAACUAAUAAGUGAUAACUGAAAUGAUAGCUGAUAACUGAACUGAACAAAGGAAGCAAGGAUAUGAAUACUCUCUUUUCUGAAUGAUGAACAACCUGUUUAUCUGAAUAUUAAACUGCAGCCUCAUGUAUAUAUAUAUAUAUGUGUGUGUGUGUGUGUGUGUGUGUGUGUGUGUGUGUGCACAAAUUGCAGCCUUGGGCCCAAGUAUACGUAUAUAUAACUGCGGUCUCAGGCCCAAAGAUGCAUAAAACAUUAAAUGCGACCUCAUGCCUAAAUACAGGGGUUCAACAUUCAGGAAUUUAAAAUUAGGAACUAAGAAUCAUACUGCAAUACAUUUCAUUAAUUCGUACAUUAUUCUUGAUUCAUCUAUUGGAUAGUAUUAGAUUUCACAUUAUUUUAAACUGCUUACUCAUAUUUAAUUAAAUUGUUAUAAGAAACGGUUAGCUAAAUUCUAACAUUGGAUUGCCUAACAAGUAUGGUGUUAGGCGCCAUCACGAUCUCGAGGGUUGGGAAUUUGGGUCGUGACAAGUUGGUAUCAGAGCACUAGGUUGCCUAGGUCUCACAAUUCUCAAACAAGCUUAAUAGAGUCUAAGAGAUCGGUAAGGAGACGUCUGUACUUAUCUCUCAAAGGCUAUAAAGUUAGGAACAAUUUGACUUCUAUUCUACUCUAUCUUGCGAAUUUAUUCUACCAUUGAGGAUUGAACUCGUCUACUGUUGUUCUCUCACAAUUCUCGACAACAUGCAAUGCUUCUAUAACCAGAUAAGAAGUGGAGCCCUAAUGACAGCUACGAUUAGGGAAAGAGGCAGAGGCAGAGCUCAGUCUAGAGCUCGAACAUCAGCACCUAUUGUAGAGCCUCAAGUGGAUCUAGAAGUAGAGAUUCUAGCCCAGUCGGUACAUGUUGGACCAAUUCAGGUUCUAGAAGGAUUCAUAGCUACUCCAGUAUUGCAGGACGCACUAGUCCGUUUAUUGAGGUUGGAAAAGUUUACCAAACUAUUUCCACUCCAUUUCAGUGGUACAUCUUUUGAGGACCUACAUGAUUUUCUUGACCGCUGUUAUGAAGUAUUGCAGAACAUGGGAAUAGUUGAAAGUAAUAGGGUUGAUUUAUAUGAGUUGUGAAGUUUAACAUUGUGGAUUAUCAAACAUUGUGGCCUAUGACUUCAUGCCAAGUGGGGAAGUCCAUUAUCAAGGAAUAGAUUGCGGGGUCAUGUGUUAUAUUAGUUUUGGUCUAGAAUGUAUAAGGCCCGAGAUUUUGCAAGAGAUAAAGCUAGGAAUUGUGGUAUGUCUGCCUCCUUAAUAACCCUAUACCUCAGUACCAAAGGAGUUAUAUAAACAACUUUAAAUCUACAGAAGGUCUACUCAGUGUGGAAGUCACGGUUUCGGAUUUUGGGGUGCUUUAGACGGAGUAUAGUGGUUGGCGAGCUUCUAGACUAUAUGGUUCGUGCCAAGAUUUAUCUAUAUAGAGCUCUACUUUUGUGAUCAUUGUGCAUCAAUAGGGAUGAGAGUUACCCCACAGAAUAACGAAGAGUAUAUGAAUAAAUGGUGUAGCUCAGCAGUGUUGAGUCAACAUAGUAAAAGAAGAAAUUGGCCGUCGGUGUUUGUGGCAAGCCUACGAAGAGGACGACCAGCCAUUGCAACAUCAACUACUUGACUCAGUUCUCAUAAAUGCUUUUGAAAGAGUUUGUUUCUCGGACUCUCCAUAAUGCGUGGAGCAUAGGGUUUGAACGUGUCACGAUCCCAGUUCGCCCUCCGUGAACUAUCGUGAUGGCACCUAGUCUCUACGACUAGGUAAGCCUAACAAUUUUGGAAAAAGGAAAAACAACAGAUAAAAUAAAUAAAAACUACAGAAUAAACAUAAUGAGGGUUUAAAGAUGCCGCUCGGCAUAUACAAUAUAACUCUCAAACUGAACAACUUCCCCAAAACCCGGAAUCUCAUGAAAUCACAAGCUGUUGAAUAACUACAAGUGUCUAACUCCAGAAUGUCUAAACAAAAGUAAAUACAGAAGGGCUGAUACUAUACGAGACAAUGGAAAGGGACUCCUCAGUCUGCGGACGCGACAAAUAUACCUUGAAGUCUUUGGAGAAUCGCCUCGCCUCAAGGGUAGCAGGGAAGAGUCGAAGUAACUGGAUGUGCACAUGAAAACAUGCGCAGAAAGGCAUGAGUACACCACAGCGGUACUCAGUAAGUGCCAAGCCUAACCUCGGUCAGGCAGUGACGAGAAAAGUCAGGGCCCUACUGAUUAUAGUUGAAAAAUGAGGUAAAACAUUAUAGAAUACGACAAUAUAAUUAAAAAUGCUAACAGUAUAAAGUAACACAUGAUAAUAGGAAUGACAGCAACUAUAACAAAGACAAAAUAAUCACAGAAGGAAUACAUCUCAACACAGAGAUAACAACCGGGGAUCUCCCAGGAUACCGUCCUGCUGUCCCCAAAUGUAAAUAUCUAGUGGAUCUCCCGGGUGUCAUCCCGUAGUCCAACUCAUAGUGCGCGGGGAUCUACCGAAAUCCUGAUCCGUAGUCCCAAAUGUAAAUACCCAGUACUAGGGGAAUCUACCGGGUGCAGUCCCAUAGUUCCAAUAUAAUGUGCAGGGGGAUCUACCGGAAUACAAAUCCGUAGUCCCAUAGUAAACAUAUAGGGGGAUCUCCCGGGAUACCAUCCCAUAGUCCCAAAGUAAACACACAACAACAACACGAAGAAUACUCAAUUCAAUUCAAAUUUUAUAGCAACGUAAAACAGGUAUUUUUAACCGAGCAUGCUGCACAUAAUCCAAAUAAGGCAGUUUGAGAAAGUAAAGCAAUUAAAACAAUUAGACAUGCUUCCCUAAGCUAAUAGUAGGCUUAAAUUUGCAAGUAGUAUAAACAGGAAAGGAAACACAAUUAUAGUUACUUAAUAAAAACAGGAUUUUCAACAAUUAGCACAAGUACACACUCAUCACCUCACGUACAAGGCAUUUCAAAUAUCAACAAUAUCAAAUUCUAAGGGGAGUUCCCCCACACAAGGUUAGGCAAGCCACUUACCUUGAACCCGCUCAAUCAACUCAAUACCACAUUCUUGCCACGAGUAUCAGACUCCAAAUGGCCCAAAUCUAUUCAAAGUAAUUGCAUAAUGUAAAUAUAACUUCAAGCAACUAAUUCAACUAAUUAAUUCUAAGCUAAUACAUGAAAUUAGAAAAAAUGACUAAAACGCCCCGGGCCCACAUCUCGAAAUCGGAUAAAAUUUAUAAAUUCAGAAUCCUCACACUCUCCCAAAUUCAGUCAUACCAAAAGUACCAAAAUUGGACCUCAAAUGGUCCCUCAAAUCACCACUCAAAGCUCUCCAAUUAACCAAGUCCUAACCCCCAGUUUACCACUGAUUUUCCUUUAA